rnacentral:rRNA from 1 species
GACGAACGCUGGCGGCGUGCUUAACACAUGCAAGUCGAGCGGAAAGGCCCUUCGGGGUACUCGAGCGGCGAACGGGUGAGUAACACGUGAGUAACCUGCCCCAGACUUUGGGAUAACCCUCGGAAACGGGGGCUAAUACCGGAUACGACACAGCUUCGCAUGGGGUCUGUGUGGAAAGUUUUUCGGUUGGGGAUGGGCUCGCGGCCUAUCAGCUUGUUGGUGGGGUGAUGGCCUACCAAGGCGACGACGGGUAGCCGGCCUGAGAGGGCGACCGGCCACAGUGGGACUGAGACACGGCCCAGACCCCGACGGGAGGCAGGAGGGGGGAAUAUUGCACAAGGGGCGGAAGCCGGAUGCAGCGACGCCGGGUGGGGGAUGACGGCCUUCGGGUUGUAACCCUCUUUCGCCGGGGACGAAGCGUGAGGGACGGUAAUGGAGAAAGAAGCGCCGGCCAACUACGUG